ensembl:miRNA
GGAUUAAGUCUUCUUUGGUAUUUAAAAAGUAGAUUUUCCUUCUGUGACUACGUGCUUGAGGAUUAAUCAUAGAGGAAAAUCCACCUUUUCAGUAUCAAAUGCUGCUUUGG